rnacentral:rRNA from 1 species
GACGAACGCUGGCGGCGUGCCUAAUACAUGCAAGUCGAGCGAAGUUUUUCUGGUGCUUGCACUAGAAAAACUUAGCGGCGAACGGGUGAGUAACACGUAAAGAACCUGCCUCAUAGACUGGGACAACUAUUGGAAACGAUAGCUAAUACCGGAUAACAGUAUUUCUCGCAUGAGAGAUAUUUAAAAGUUGGUUAUGCUAACACUAUGAGAUGGCUUUGCGGUACAUUAGCUAGUUGGUGGGGUAAAGGCCCACCAAGGCGACGAUGCAUAGCCGACCUGAGAGGGUGAUCGGCCACACUGGGACUGAGACACGGCCCAGACUCCUACGGGAGGCAGCAGUAGGGAAUCUUCCGCAAAGGGCGAAAGCCUGACGGAGCAACGCCGCGUGAGUGAAGAAGGAUUUCGGUUCGUAAAGCUCUGUUGUUAGGGAUGAAUGGAUAUGUAGUAACUAUACAUGUAAGAGACGGUACCUAACCAGAAAGCCACGGCUAACUACGUG